UCGAACUUUUGUGCUUAGGUGUAAAAGUGCUUUACUUUUAUGCCUAGGCGUUAAAAUGACAAAUACCCCUGUGACGUUUGAAAAAAAAAUAUUUUUUGUACUUUCUGCGAUACAGAAAACACAUAGACUGUAUCGUUGUUUGUUAAAAUAAAUUAAUUUUACAAAAUAAAAACCGUUUGUUGUACGUUUUUUUUAUGUUCUCGUCGUAACUUCGAUGCGGUGCAAUCUAUCAUUAUAACAUAGUCAUUUAUAGAAAAGAAAUAAAAUGCGUCAUCUUUUAUUUUUUUCUUUUUUUAGUCGGACUGCUUGCGAAGCACUAAGUCGCAUAGAAUAUAUAGGGUUUUGUACAUAUUUAGUUUAAGAGAAGAAAAGAGCAAGUCUGUUAUAUUUAUUUAUUAUUUUUUUGUUUAUAUUUGUAUUAUUUAAGCGAGCAUUACUUGCAAAAUAGUUCUUUAGUGUCGAGACAUACUGUUUUCUAGAUAUAUAGGCCAGGAGUGAACUGAAAAGUUUAUUUUUUCUUAAAUAAUUUUAGUUUUUCAACAUAUUUUUUUGUAAAGUCUUCAUAAUUCUUUCUUACAAUUUUAGAAGAUAUUUUUUGACAUAGUCUUUUUUUUCAAGGUAAAUAUUGUAUCUUUCUAACACUUGUAACUAAAUCUGGUCAAUAUGGAGGUUGCCAAAUAGUUUAAAUGAAUAUGUUACUCACUGAAUUGUGAGGCUACACAUAGUUAUCUUGUUGAAAACUCUUUAUUAUUACAAAUCUGUACCCCGGAAGCCAAGCUAUAUUAAGUCAAAAAAAAGUAAAGUAAAGUUCUUUUUUGAAGUUAUUUCCCAAUUACUGGGUUAUUUUAAUAAUUUUAUGCCAAUUUUCUGGCAAUUAAUUGCAAGGAUAUUGUCAGUAGUUCCAGUUUAUUAAUGCCUUAAAGUUUAAACUAUCAAAACCUUGUUGAAUGCUUGUCAAAAGAUGUCUGAACACAUUCCCUAGCUUUUGUAGACCUUUUUUUUAUAGGUUUGAGUACUUUUCAGAUCACUCGACUCACUAGAAUAAUCAGAAAAAAUAAACGAAUCAUUUGUAAAUUUUGUUAGACCCUAAAACUCCCCAAAACUAACGAACUAUUUUGUAAAAUCAAUCAUCGAACUGACUAAAAGUAUUUAAUUUUUUUUUUCGUUGCGUAGUAAGUUUCAUCAUUCACUGUAAAUUAAAUCCAGACAUUCUCCAUCGCGCGGCUACAGUUGUUUGCAUAUAUGUUAGGACUUCCAAGCAGAUUAAACAAAAAGUCUUUAUAUAAACAGCAAGAAAAAAAAUUGUGAUUAAAUUAAAUUUUACUAUUAUGAAAAUAACAAAAUUAAUUGAAAUGUUUUUGUAUUAGUGAAUUAUUAAAACAUCUGAAAUUGUAUGUGUGUUGUUUUAAUUUUUCCUGUACCCAUGUAGAAAUUUAUGUUGAAUGCAAAACAGCUAGAAGAGACGAAGUUCUUUUAAUUUGUACAUUCCAAGAGGGUUAUUGAAGAACCUAUUCCAAACGACCACAUAGAAGAAAUGUAUUUAACAGGUAUGAUAUAGUCAAUCAAUUUAAUACAACUUGGUUUUAAUCAACAUUAUUUUUUGUUUAUUAUAGGUGAUAAACUCUCUCAAGAAUCACUUCCCAAUGGAAUAUAAAUUGAAGGCUAGGCACAAUAAAGAAGAAUCUAAAGCUACUGUGUAAGCCUGUACUGAAGGUUUUACUUAAAAGACUGUUUUAUCACUAUUCAUACCAAGAAUAAUGUACAUACCAAGAAGUUGAAGCUGAAGAAACGUAUACCAAAUAUUCACACUUAGAAGAAAUGAUUCAGCAGAACAGAAGUAAUGGAGAUGAAGAACUAAGAAGAUACAAGACCAUAGAAAAACUCUACACUGAAGUAUCAUGGAAGAAAAAUAAGAAAACAGUCUUCAGUUAGAUUAGCUAUCCCAAGAAAUACUUCCAAACCAGAGAAAUUCAAGACUAAAAUCAAGAAGGAAUAUAACAACGUGUGAUAUACAACUGCCUGGCCCUGUCGUCAAUCAGAGAGUCUAUUAUGCUCUAAUCGAUUUGCUGGUUACACUUCUCCUUCAAUAAUUUAUGUUUAAAUGAAUUUGGCGAACGGCAAUAGCAAGAACAUUGGAGAUAAAAAUGGAUCAGUUACCGAAAUAAAGAAGAUUGUCCUCAAGUUUUGAUAACUAUAUUGAACGAGAAUAGGGAUCUUCUACCGCUUCUUCUGGGGCAAGACUGGAAUUUCAGAGCCAAUCCAGAUAUGGCAAUUUGCUUCUACAGCAUUUAGACAGCACUUCAACCAGAAUAGAGAAGCAUACUAUACGAAGAUAUCACCGCAGAAACAAGAAGAAUUAUUAAUUUUCUACAUAUAAAUUGCCCCUGUAUUUAUUUUUAACAAAAAAUGAC
rnacentral:lncRNA from 1 species